rnacentral:rRNA from 1 species
GACGAACGCUGGCGGCGUGCUUAACACAUGCAAGUCGAACGAAGAGCGAUGGAAGCUUGCUUCUAUCAAUCUUAGUGGCGAACGGGUGAGUAACGCGUAAUCAACCUGCCCUUCAGAGGGGGACACAGGUGGGAAAGGACUGCAAAACCCGCAUACGAUCUAACCUCGGAAUGGGGGAAAGAUAAAGGGGGGCCUCUAUGUAUAGCCAAUAACUGAGGGGGGGGAUUGCGUCUGAUAAGCUAGUUGGGGGGGUAACGGCCCACCAAGGCGAUGAUCAGUAGCCGGUCUGAGAGGAUGAACGGCCACAUUGGGACUGAGACACGGCCCAGACUCCUACGGGAGGCAGCAGUGGGGAAUCUUCCGCAAUGGACGAAAGUCUGACGGAGCAACGCCGCGUGAGUGAUGACGGCCUUCGGGUUGUAAAGCUCUGUUAAUCGGGACGAAAGGCCUUCUUGCGAAUAGUUAGGAGGAUUGACGGUACCGGAAUAGAAAGCCACGGCUAACUACGUG